rnacentral:rRNA from 1 species
UACGGAGGGUGCGAGCGUUGUCCGGAAUCACUGGGCGUAAAGGGCGCGUAGGCGGCGCGGGAAGUCCGUGGUGAAAGCCCGAGGCUCAACUUCGGGUCGGCCAUGGAUACUCCUGGGCUUGAGCACUGUAGAGGCAGGUGGAAUUCCGGGUGUAGCGGUGGAAUGCGUAGAGAUCCGGAAGAACACCGGUGGCGAAGGCGGCCUGCUGGGCAGUAGCUGACGCUGAGGCGCGACAGCGUGGGGAGCAACAGG